UACGUAGGCAGCGAGCGUUGUUCGGAGUUACUGGGCGUAAAGGGUGUGUAGGCGGUUGUUUAAGUUUGGUGUGAAAUCUCCCGGCUCAACUGGGAGGGUGCGCCGAAUACUGAAUGACUUGGAGUGCGGGAGAGGAAAGUGGAAUUCCUGGUGUAGCGGUGAAAUGCGUAGAUAUCAGGAGGAACACCGGUGGUGUAGACGGCUAUCUGGACGGCGACUGACGCUGAGACACGAAAGCGUGGGUAGCAAACAGG
rnacentral:rRNA from 1 species